rnacentral:lncRNA from 1 species
CCUUGAGCAUUUUAAGGUGAAAGUGGAUACAAAUGUACACCGUUAACAAAAUAACUAACAGUGAAGGUCUUACAGUAGGCUGCAAUCUUACAGUAUUUAUCUGAAAUGAAGCCUCAUCCAACUCAGUGGCAUUUACUUUGAAAUAGCUACAUCUUUAGUACGGCAUGAUGGUUAUUUACUUUCAUCAGUUAUUCCUGCAUCGUUAGAGAAAUGCAGGGAUAAAAAUUUAAAUUCUGGAAAAGGAGGUGUGGGUUGGAAGGAGGGACGGGAGCAGAGCAGGGGCCUCCACAGAAAUCCAAGUUUCGGGAGGGGAUGAUAUCUCUGGUUUGUUGAUAUGACUGUAGUUUUUACCUGUGUAUAUAUUUAAAGACAUGCCAAGUUUAUAAUAGUAAUAAUCUUAGAACUGGAAAGGAACUCUGUGGCUCACCCAGCCCAACCCCUGUCAAGGAGGUACAGUGGGGAAUUGAACCCCCAAAGGCUGGGUCCCAAAUCACGGAGCUGUAGGAUUGAGAAGGACAAGGGACCACUGCGCCCCCCCCCCCGAAGCAUUUGGUUACACAGAGGAGGAUCUGUGUUAGCUGAUCCCCCGUUCGAGAACAACAUUGGCCACGAGUACCAGUGGUUAUUCUAAGAUUCACGUUACUUCUACGUCAGGAAUCCAUUGCGUACCUGUUCAGAUCUGGAGACGUAUAGAUAAAAAUAAAUUCGGAGAGGAAGGAGAUUUAAAAAGGGCUUCCCAGAGUCUGCCAGAAGAACGGGCGCGAGAGCCGUUUCUUAAGGGAACCCCGGAGCAAAUCAGAACGUUGCAAGUAGCAACGUUCCAACGUAACGAUGCCCAUCAAAGGCCGAGAGUUUCUGUUCUAGCGAUCGUUCGAAUACGGCGAUGCUCGUUGCUCGCCAACGUUUUCACAACCCAAGCCUCCGCUCGACUCCUCGAUACUUCUUCAAAACUCAAGUUCAUAAUGAAAAAGGAGACAAGACCCCCUCUGGCCAAUCCAUCACUUUGGCCAAGCUUCCUAUCAAGUGUCGCUAAGCUUCCUAUCAAGUAUCCCAUCCUCUCAUCUAAUGCAAAGGAAUUAAAAAGAGUGACAGCACCUGGAACAGGUUCUCUGCUUCCAUCUACAGGAAAAGAAGAAUACUGUUCGGUUUACGGUUCCCCCUGCAAUCUACAACAUGAUUUGCCUUUUUAAAAAAGUAAGCUAUAUACCAGUUUUGUACCACUUGGACAUAUUUUGAUUUUUCCAA